UUGAAGGCUGGAAUGAAUGGUUGGACAAGAAAUAAGCUGUCUUAAAUAAAAAUAUUGAACUUAACUUUUAAGUGAAAAGGCUUAAAUUUUCUAAAGGGACGAUAAGACCCUAUAAAACUUUAUAUUUAAAAGUAAUUGCAAUUAUUAUUUAAAGAUUUUAUUUUUAAAUAUUUUAUUGGGGUGAUAAGGAUAAAAUAUAAGACAACUGUCUUUUAUUUUAACAAUAAUUUUUGAGUAAAUGAUCUUAGUAAAGGAAUAAAAGAUUAAGUUACUUUAGGGAUAACAGCGUAAUUUUCUUUGAGAGUUCUUAUCGACAAGAAAGUUUGCGACCUCGAUGUUAAAUUAAAAGUUCUUUAUAGAGUAGAGACUAUAUUAGAAGGUCUGUUCGA
rnacentral:rRNA from 1 species